ACGACUUCUAUUAUUCAAGUUCCUCAGUUGAAUCAAGAGUAUAGGGCUGCCAUGAUAUGAUACCCUCAGUUCGAGAAAAACGAUCAUACCGUAACUGAUGAGUGGUUGAGUGAUCACACGGUGCGAGAGCAAUGAAGCUACGCAGCCAGCAGCAUCCCACCUGGGAGACCGGAAAAUGAUUCCGAGCUAGGAAAUUUGAACUUGCCAUCAACCUCCAAAUCAGUCAUUCCAUUGAUUCCUUCACAGGUUCUCUCCAGUCGUGUGCCAGGCCCUAAAAUUCUCACUCACUCAAACCAAUGUGCAGUCACCAACUCUUGGUCCUCUAAUUCAAAUCUGACUGACAUAAAACUAAGAAACGCUGUGUUAGAAUAUAAAAUUUUGGUAAAAAAUUCGAGAAAGGAAACAGUGAACUUAAGAUUUUACACGCUGAUUUACAAAUGAAAGAAAUUAUGCUAGCCGAAAAAAAGGGACAAAUGAAUAUCCGACUCUGAUAAACCAAUUUUAAUCCUCGGGACAACGAAAUCCAUUCUAAAUAGAUCAACCUUUACGAGGUGAUUUUUUUCGAAUAACUCAUCGUUGGAAAAGGAUAAUUCUUAUUAUUCAAAUCAGAUAUAUUCCAAGCCCUUCAGGGUAUGUGAUUUUGCCUUUCUCCAUUGGCACAACAUAGAGAGUGUUGAUAGAACACAAAGAUUAAAAACUCGAUUUUUUCGUAAUCCUUUUUUAUCCUUAAACAGAGUGAUAGAUUGACUCCUAUUAACAGUUUCUGCGAAGCUUAUGCAUUUCCCAACUUAUAACUAGUGAGCAUAAAUAGUAUUCGGGGAGGAGCUAUAAAAGCGUGACAGAUUAAGUCUGAUUUUUUAAAGCAAAAACUAGAUAUAAACAGAAACUAUGUUUAUUAACAACUUCUUUUAGUCUAUUAGAAA